AACGAACGCUGGCGGCAGGCCUAACACAUGCAAGUCGAGGGGAAGCCAUCUUCGGAUGGUGGAGACCGGCGCACGGGUGAGUAACGCGUGGGAAUUUACCUUGGAGUGGGGAAUAACCGCUGGAAACGGCGGCUAAUACCGCAUACGCCCUUAGGGGGAAAGCUUUAGCGCUCUGGGAUGAGCCCGCGUUAGAUUAGGUAGUUGGUGGGGUAAAGGCCUACCAAGCCUACGAUCUAUAGCUGGUCUGAGAGGAUGAUCAGCCACACUGGGACUGAGACACGGCCCAGACUCCUACGGGAGGCAGCAGUGGGGAAUAUUGGACAAUGGGGGCAACCCUGAUCCAGCCAUGCCGCGUGCGUGAAGAAGGCCUUAGGGUGUAAAGCGCUUUCACUGGUGAAGAUGAUGACGGUAGCCAGAGAGAAGCCCCGG
rnacentral:rRNA from 1 species